UACGGAGGAUCCAAGCGUUAUCCGGAAUCAUUGGGUUUAAAGGGUCCGUAGGCGGUUUGGUAAGUCAGUGGUGAAAGCCCAUCGCUCAACGGUGGAACGGCCAUUGAUACUGCCAGACUUGAAUUAUUAGGAAGUAACUAGAAUAUGUAGUGUAGCGGUGAAAUGCUUAGAGAUUACAUGGAAUACCAAUUGCGAAGGCAGGUUACUACCAAUAUAUUGACGCUGAUGGACGAAAGCGUGGGGAGCGAACAGG
rnacentral:rRNA from 1 species